rnacentral:misc_RNA from 1 species
UUUAUUGCAGCCGGAAACAUGAUCGAAGUUAAUGUUUCCGGCCCAUUCUCAAAUCACGCGUGGAGGAUGAAAUCAUUCGCAUUCAGGGCGGCAACGCCCUUUACCAGCAACGUAUCCGUCGUGCCGUUGAUUUGUAGCAGCGUAUUGCCGCCGGUGUGAUCGGCAGUGGCCAGCAAGGUCGUCAGCGCGGUCGCAUCGAUGGAUGAGAAAGCUUGCAAAUCGAUCUUGUCGGUGCCGCUCUGAAACCCGUUCGUAAUGACGUCCUGAUUUGAAUUGGGCGCAAACACGAAGGUGUCCUGAUAGCUCGUUGCGAAAAAUACGUCCUUGUCGGACGUACCUUGCAGGGUGACAGGGCCGGUCCCGGACACGUUGAAGAUGAAGUUCA